rnacentral:tRNA from 2 species
GGGCCCAUGGCGCAGUUGGUAGCGCGCUUCGUUCGCAAUGAAGAGGUCGGGGGUUCGAAUCCCCCUGGGUCCACCG